UACGUAGGCAGCGAGCGUUGUUCGGAAUUACUGGGCGUAAAGAGUGUGUAGGCGGUGCUCUAAGUUCGGUGUGAAAUCUCCUGCUUAACUGGGAGGGUGCGCCGGAAACUGGGGUGCUCGAGCGUGGGAGAGGAAAGCGGAAUUCUUGGUGUAGCGGUGAAAUGCGUAGAUAUCAGGAGGAACACCUGUGGUGUAGACAGCUUUCUGGACCAUUGCUGACGCUGAGACACGAAAGCGUGGGUAGCAAACAGGAUAGAUAC
rnacentral:rRNA from 1 species